GCCUCCAUUUGCUGUUUGGGAAACCCUCUAUGCUAUGAAUGUUAGCUGGCAGCAAACACUGCCUCCCACUACAGAGGCACACAGUGUUGGUGCCUGCUUUUUCACCCUCCAGUUCCAACAGGAAGCAAGCACAGGACCCAAGCAUUGCAGACAGUUGUAUCAUGCCAAUGUGCAUUCGGAGCCACUGACAGCAGAGUCUUGCUUUGUCACCCAGGCUGGAGUACUGUGGCGUGAUCACAGCUUACUGAAAUGUCUGCCUCCCUGGUUCAAGCGAUUUUUCUGCCUCAGCCUCUAGAGUAGCUGGAAUUACAAUGUUAGCAGUCACUGAUGCUCAUAA